AUGAAUGAAAGUUUAUCCAUCUUAAAUUGGAAUGUGCGUGGUCUCAACUGUCCAAACCGUCGAGCAACAGUUCAUGAAACAAUCGCCGCUACCUCUUGCAACCUCGUUUGUCUACAGGAGACGAAAUUAGCCGCAAUUGACCCUUUUGUGGCUUCUUUCCUGGGAGGCCAAGGACUGAAGAACUUUGCUGAAAAACCAGCGGAUGGCACCAAGGGGGGCAUUCUUAUCUUCUCCUCUGGAAUGAAGACUACAUGA
rnacentral:rRNA from 1 species